rnacentral:lncRNA from 1 species
AGUCUGAGUAUCCUAUCAUAACUUCUUGCUUUCCAUUGAUUCGGUUUCUGUACCAAUCUAUAGAGAAAAGUCGCGCUACAGCAGCAGGAGCAGACUCAAGAUCAGCGAGCUUUUCAAACAGUGGGACAACUCUUAACGGCUGUUUGACGUGGCAUUCGCGUUGUAAAAGCUCAACAGCAAGCACAUCAGACGGGGAUGUUGCCAUUGAAAUGAUAUAGGCACCGAAGCUGUCUGAGGGAAGUUCUGAAAUGACAUGGAAAGUUUCCAAAACAUCGGAAAUUUCUUCUGUCUUAGGGAGAUCAUGGCCGAAGAGAGGACG